AGUCUGGUGCCAGCAGCCGCGGUAAUUCCAGCUCCGCAAGUGUAUAUCUAUGUUGCUGCGGUUAAAAAGCUCGUAGUUGGAUCUGCGUGUUUAGCGUCCGGUUCGACUUUUGGUCGUUACUGGAACGCGACACAGAUGUGCUGGUUUGCCGUUGAUGCUCUUAACCGGGUGUCAGUGGCGGCUAGCGAGUUUACUUUGAAAAAAUUAGAGUGCUCAAAACAGGCGUUUCGCCUGAAUAUUUCUGCAUGGAAUAAUAGAAUAGGACUUCGAUUCUAUUCUGUUGGUUUUCGGAAUGCGAAGUAAUGAUUAAGAGGGACAGACGGGGGCAUUCGUACUGCGACGUUAGAGGUGAAAUUCUUGGAUCGUCGCAAGACGUACUACUGCGAAGGCAUUUGCCAAGAAUGUUUUCAUUAAUCAAGAACGAAAGUUAUGGGUUCGAAGGCGAUCAGAUACCGCCCUAGUCAUAACCGUAAACGAUUCAAACUGGGCGCCCGACGGUGUUUUUAUUGACCCGUCGGGAACCCUCCCGGAAACGAAAGUGUUCGUGUUCCGGGGGAAAUAUGUCUGCAAAGAGGAAACUUAAAGGAAUUGACGGAAGGGCACCACCAGGGGUGGAGCCUGCGGCUUAAUUUGACCCAACACGGGGAAACUCACCCGGCCCGGACACCGUAAGGAUUGACAGAUUGAGAGCUCUUUCUUGAUUCGGUGGGUGGUGGUGCAUGGCCGUUCUUAGUUGGUGGAGUGAUUUGUCUGGUUUAUUCCGAUAACGAACGAGACUCUGGCCUGCUAACUAGUGUUCACAUCUUUACGUGUGCUUCGCUUCUUAGAGGGACAGGCGGCUUCCAGCCGCAUGAAGAAGAGCAAUAACAGGUCUGUGAUGCCCUUAGAUGUCCGGGGCUGCACGCGCGCUACACUGAAAGAAUCAGCGUGUACGUUACCUGGCUCGAAAGAGUCGGGUAAUCCGGUGAAAAUCUUUCGUGAUUGGGAUCGGGACUUGCAAUUAUUUCCCUUGAACGAGGAAUCCCUAGUAAGUGCGGGUCAUCAGCUCGCGCUGAUUACGUCCCUGCCCUUUGUACACACCGCCCGUCGCUGCCCGGAACUGAGCCGUUUCGAGAAAAAUGGGGACUGUCUACUUGAGGUCUUCACGGACUUUUUGUAAAUGGAAACCGCUU
rnacentral:rRNA from 1 species